rnacentral:rRNA from 1 species
UGGAUGAUGUGAUUAAUCGAUGCAACGCGAAAACCUUACUACCCUUGACAUGUCCGGAAUCCCGAAGAGAUUUGGGAGUGCUCGCAAGAGAACCGGAACACAGGUGCUGCAUGGCUGUCGUCAGCUCGUGUCGUGAGAUGUUGGGUUAAGUCCCGCAACGAGCGCAACCCUUGUCAUUAGUUGCCAUCAUUUGGUUGGGCACUCUAAUGAGACUGCCGGUGACAAACCGGAGGAAGGUGGGGAUGACGUCAAGUCCUCAUGGCCCUUAUGGGUAGGGCUUCACACGUCAUACAAUGGUCGGUACAGAGGGUUGCCAACCCGCGAGGGGGAGCUAAUCCCACAAAGCCGAUCGUAGUCCGGAUCGCAGUCUGCAACUCGACUGCGUGAAGUCGGAAUCGCUAGUAAUCGUGGAUCAGCAUGUCACGGUGAAUACGUUCCCGGGUCUU